rnacentral:rRNA from 1 species
AGAGCGAACGCUGGCGGCAGGCUUAACACAUGCAAGUCGAGCGCCCCGCAAGGGGAGCGGCAGACGGGAGAGUAACACGUGGGAACGUACCCUUCAGUUCGGAACAACCCAGGGAAACUUGGGCUAAUACCGAAUACGUCCGUAAGGAGAAAGAUUUAUCGCUGAAGGAUCGGCCCGCGUCUGAUUAGCUAGUUGGUGGGUAACGCCCACCAAGGCUACGAUCAGUAGCUGGUCUGAGAGGAUGAUCAGCCUCACUGGGACUGAGACACGGCCCAGACUCCUACGGGAGGCAGCAGUGGGGAAUAUUGGACAAUGGGCGCAAGCCUGAUCCAGCCAUGCCGCGUGGGUGAUGAAGGCCCUAGGGUUGUAAAGCCCUUUCGGCGGGAAGAUAAUGACGGUACCCGCAGAAGAAGCCCGGCUAACUUCGCGCCAGCAGCCGC